GGAUGUGAGGGUGAUCUGGCUGUAACAUCUGUCACCCCAUUGAUCACCAGGGUAGAUUCGGCUGACCUGGCUGGCUAGGCAAAUGCCCCCUUCCUCACCCUUCCCUGUGUGUACCUCUCAAAGCUGCUAGCUUGGUGGAAGAGGACAACCUCCCCUGAAUAGAGUCCGACCAGUCUUCGUCUGAGUGUAUACAGUAGCUGUGCUCCUCUGCUAGAACCUCCAACCAAACUCUCAAAUAUCAUUAGGGCCAGGUCUAAACUUUGGCACUGUGCAAGACAAAACAAAUAUACUAUUCUGGUGAGCUAUUUUGCUUGGAUUG
rnacentral:snRNA from 1 species